CCUGGACAGACCACAGGAGCUGGGCUUGGACGCUGCCUGUUACACACCCCACACUUUAAAACACACCUAUCAAUCUAUGAUGGUAACACUUUUUACUGAAAGUCUUCACUUCUAGAAAGUGGACUUCUGAAAAAAAGCUGUUAUUUCUCAAUUUGACUAACAGGAGUCAGCUUCCUACUCUGCUGGGGCAGACACACCAGAUGCAGGAAAAAUAGGGCUUGGAGCUGCCACCUUCCAGCAGAGUCAAGCUCGUAUCAGGCGGCUCCGUUUUCAGUGUUUUCCUUGAAACUCACAGUAUCUAAUGCACAACUGUUAAAAAUAGCAAAAUGUUUCUCCAAAUAUGUUUUCUUAUAUCACUGGAAUAUGUCACCGUAUUAAAACAUUUUUUGUCUGGCAAACUGCAGGGUGAAGACACAAAAUGUGGAAAUCACACUGUGUUCACGCCUGACCACCGUGCUGUGUCUGUCCUGAGUGUCACCGUCCUUCCCUGCGUGAGCCAUGUCUCGUCACCUUGUCGCUCCAGGUGGGACCAGCGUGCAUCCCAGGAGCAAGAAAGAAACUGCCACGAUGCCACGCUCUCGCUCCAAAAUCGCCCUUUCUUGCUCCUGCACGACUCUGCUCCAGGCGCCCUCCAUCCCCUGCAGGUUGGUUCACCUGGGACCUCCAGCUCGUCUCUCAGGAAGUCCGCCUGGAAGCCACUCAUCCAGGGUGAGCACUCCUGCAGGUUGCCGGGCACCCUCACGUCCCUGCGCAUUUUGGCCAGCAGCGUGCGGGUGACAGCACCAAAGUCAGCAGGUGUCAUGCUCUGGAGCUUGGAGCCUCCACUCCCAAAGUGUUUAUCAAAUUCUUUCCCAAAAGCCUGAAAUUAACAAUAAUUUACCUUAAAUAUUAACGGCUUGAAAGUCUGAAAAGGUUCUAGCCUUGUGAAUACUUAUCACAAACAGGUACCCAGUUACACAGGUGUUUUUCCUGUGCUUUUAAGAUGGACAGUUUCUCAUCCCUUGAAUGUUUCAGCGCACUGAAGCCCGCGGCCUGCCUACGGUUUGCUUCUCUGUGCCUCUCUGUGCCUCUGAAGACGGGCAGGACGGUGGUCAGCGUGACUUCCAGGCCCGAGUCCUAACAGGGACCUUAAACUCGGGAAAGCCCUUAACCCGUGUCCACUGCCCAGUCGCUGACCUGCUCCACUAUGGUAAGGGGUAACAAAGUACAGGAUGAAGGGAGUAAUCCCACAGAAAUGAACCUAAGACAAGACCCUUCCUUAAUGAGGACUUUUCAAGUCGUUAUUCUGGAUCAUAAACCAGCAGAAACAUGAUUUGGAUAAUUUAUAAUUCUAGAAAUUAAGAACUUAACCUUGGAACGUACCAAAUUUUGACUAAUGGCGACUGAAUAGUUGUCAAAAUUUACCUGAUCAACUUCAAUUAAAAUUUUUUUCCAAAUUUA